rnacentral:rRNA from 1 species
AUCUAUGGCCAUACCACCCUGAACCUGCCCAAUCCCGUCUGAUCUCAGAAACUAAGCAGGGUCAGGCCUGGUUAGUACUUGGAUGGGAGAAAAAGACUGCUUCCCUACAGACGCUUUCAUGUGUCAGAAAAU